UACGUAGGGUCCGAGCGUUGUCCGGAAUUAUUGGGCGUAAAGAGCUCGUAGGCGGUUUGUCGCGUCUGCCGUGAAAGUCCGGGGCUCAACUCCGGAUCUGCGGUGGGUACGGGCAGACUAGAGUGAUGUAGGGGAGACUGGAAUUCCUGGUGUAGCGGUGAAAUGCGCAGAUAUCAGGAGGAACACCGAUGGCGAAGGCAGUUCUCUGGGCCGUAACUGACGCUGAGGAGCGAAAGCGUGGGGAGCGAACAGG
rnacentral:rRNA from 1 species